UACGAAUUUUUAAGGUACGAGUUAUCAAAAUAAAUGCUAGAAGCCAUGUGGCUGAAACAUUGUUUACCUGUGGAAUUUUUGGAAGUUUAAGGGAAAUUACAGUUCUUUUACCACAUGCCAUCUCACAUAUUCGUCCUUGUCAAUAAAGACAUCAGUUUA